rnacentral:rRNA from 1 species
AUACGGAGGGUGCAAGCGUUAAUCGGAAUUACUGGGCGUAAAGCGCGCGUAGGCGGUUUAGUAAGUCGGAUGUGAAAGCCCAGGGCUCAACCCUGGAAUUGCAUUCGAUACUGCUUGACUAGAGUAUGGUAGAGGGAAGUGGAAUUUCCGGUGUAGCGGUGAAAUGCGUAGAUAUCGGAAGGAACACCAGUGGCGAAGGCGACUUCCUGGGCCAAUACUGACGCUGAGGUGCGAAAGCGUGGGGAGCAAACAGGAUUAGAAACCCCGGUAGUCC